GCGCUCAACGCAGUCGUGCCGUUGAAAUUGGGGGCUUGAGUCUAGAUGAAGUGGGCGGAAUUUGUAGUGUAGCGGUGAAAUGCUUAGAUAUUACAAGGAACUCCGAUUGCGCAGGCAGCUCACUAAGCUAUCACUGACGCUGAAGCACGAAAGCGUGGGUAUCAAACAGGAUUAGAUACCCUGGUAGUCCACGCAGUAAACGAUGAUCACUCGCUGUCUGCGAUAUACAGUAGGCGGCCAAGCGAAAGCGUUAAGUGAUCCACCUGGGGAGUACGCCGGCAACGGUGAAACUCAGAGGAAUUGACGGGGGCCCGUACAAGCGGAGGAACAUGUGGUUUAAUUCGAUGAUACGCGAGGAACCUUACCCGGGCUUGAAAUGUACCUGACCGUCCUUGAAAAGGGACUUCUAGCAAUAGCAGGUAUGUAGGUGCUGCAUGGUUGUCGUCAGCUCGUGCCGUGAGGUGUCGGCUUAAGUGCCAUAACGAGCGCAACCCACAUUAUUAGUUACUAACAGGUUAAGCUGAGGACUCUAAUAAGACUACCGUCGUAAGAUGCGAGGAAGGUGUGGAUGACGUCAAAUCAGCACGGCCCUUACGUCCGGGGCGACACACGUGUUACAAUGGGAGGUACAAAGGGCUGCUACCUGGUGACAGGAUGCUAAUCCCCAAAGCCUCUCCCAGUUCGGAUCGGAGUCUGCAACUCGACUCCGUGAAGCUGGAUUCGAUAUAAUCGCGCAUCAGCCAUGGCGCGG
rnacentral:rRNA from 1 species